CGAUUUAUAGAAUCAAGCAACGGUUCGGCGUCGUUGUCUCGUUCGAUGGAGGUUUCCGGCAUUUCGACUGCGACUGACAUCUUAAUGUCAGGUGGAGAUGACGACAGAAUGCCGCCUUCGGCGAAUCCGAGCAAGGAUCGUAGAGAGGACGAGGAAGGUCAAAAUUGGAUUUAUGGAGGGGAAGAUUGAAAUUAAGUUAGAAGUUAAUGUAGACAUUUAAAAAUUAAUGUUUCAAUUCGUAGUUCGUUCUGCCUCAGAUUUUUUGUUAAUAAGAAAAUGGAAUUUAAAAAUGGCUGGCUGAUCCAGACCGAAUCCAAAUGCAGAAGUUGACGCUCUACUCAUUGAUUGUUAUGAGCAGGAAUUAAAAAGAAUUAAGAUCGGUGACUUGGAGAAAAUUUAGGGAAGAUGAUCACGUGCUUCAUUAAAA
rnacentral:lncRNA from 1 species